GACGAACGCUGGCGGCGUGCCUAAUACAUGCAAGUAGAACGCUGAAGGAGGAGCUUGCUUCUCUGGAUGAGUUGCGAACGGGUGAGUAACGCGUAGGUAACCUGCCUGGUAGCGGGGGAUAACUAUUGGAAACGAUAGCUAAUACCGCAUAAGAGUAGAUGUUGCAUGACAUUUGCUUAAAAGGUGCAAUUGCAUCACUACCAGAUGGACCUGCGUUGUAUUAGCUAGUUGGUGGGGUAACGGCUCACCAAGGCGACGAUACAUAGCCGACCUGAGAGGGUGAUCGGCCACACUGGGACUGGGACACGGCCCAGACUCCUACGGGAGGCAGCAGUAGGGAAUCUUCGGCAAAGGACGGAAGUCUGACCGAGCAACGCCGCGUGAGUGAAGAAGGUUGUCGGAUCGUAAAGCUCUGUUGUAAGAGAAGAACGAGUGUGAGAGUGGAAAGUUCACACUGUGACGGUAUCUUACCAGAAAGGGACGGCUAACUACGUG
rnacentral:rRNA from 1 species